AUCUAAACACCGUCACAGUCAUGAUUUCCUGUGUUUAAACUUAAUGAAUUGUUGAUGAGGUUGAGAAAGCUAAAUGGCAGCCUUGCUUAUUUUCAUUUCAGGUCGUUCAGAUUGUGCUGGAUGGCCUUAAUAACAUUCUUAAGUUGGCUGGUGACAGGGCAGAUACCAUCGCUACCAUUAUUGAAGAAGCUGGAGGUUAG